GAGCUCACAUCCACGAGCAGCAGGCGCGUAAAUUGCCCGAAUCCUGACACAGGGAGGUAGUGACAAGAAAUAACAAUACAGGGCCACUUUGGUCUUGUAAUUGGAAUGAGUACAAUUUACAUCUCUUCACGAGGAUCAAUUGGAGGGCAAGUCUGGUGCCAGCAGCCGCGGUAAUUCCAGCUCCAAUAGCGUAUAUUAAAGUUGUUGCAGUUAAAACGCUCGUAGUCGGAUUUCGGGGCGGCUUCGUCGGUCUGCCGAUGGGUAUGCACUGACGCGGGCGUCCUUCCYUCCGGRAGACGCGUCCUUACUYUUAGCUGARGCGGGGCGUKGGAGACGGAUCGUUUACUUUGAAAAAAUCAGAGUGUUUCAAGCAGGCAUCAUCGCUCUUGCAUGGAUUAGCAUGGGAUAAUGAAAUAGGACCUUGGUGCUAUUUUGUUGGUUUCGAGCACCGAAGUAAUGAUUAACAGGGACAGUCAGGGGCACUCGUAUUCCGCCGAGAGAGGUGAAAUUCUCAGACCAGCGGAAGACGAACCACUGCGAAAGCAUUUGCCAGGGAUGUUUUCACUGAUCAAGAACGAAAGUUAGGGGAUCGAAGACGAUCAGAUACCGUCGUAGUCUUAACCAUAAACCAUGCCGACUAGGGAUUGGAGGAUGUCCACUUUUGACUUCUUCAGCACCUUACGGGAAACUAAAGUCUUUGGGUUCCGGGGGGAGUAUGGUCGCAAGGCUGAAACUUAAAGGAAUUGACGGAAGGGCACCACCAGGAGUGGAGCCUGCGGCUUAAUUUGACUCAACACGGGGAAACUUACCAGGUCCAGACAUUGUGAGGAUUGACAGAUUGAGAGCUCUUUCUUGAUUCGAUGGGUGGUGGUGCAUGGCCGUUCUUAGUUGGUGGAGUGAUUUGUCUGGUUAAUUCCGUUAACGAACGAGACCUUAGCCUAUUAAAUAGUGUCGCGAACACUUGGUUUCGCGUUCACUUCUUAGAGGGACAACUUGUCUUCAACAAGUGGAAGUUUGAGGCAAUAACAGGUCUGUGAUGCCCUUAGAUUKYUSSKCCGCACGCGCGSUACACUGAUGCACUCAACGAGUCUUCGCCUGACCGAGAGGUCCGGGAAACCUUUUGAACUUGCAUCGUGAUGGGGAUAGAUUAUUGCAACUAUUAAUCUUCAACGAGGAAUUUCUAGUAAGCGCAUGUCAUCAGCGUGCGUUGAUUAMGUCCCUKCCCYUUGUACACACC
rnacentral:rRNA from 1 species